GGGCUGAUAGCUCAGUUGGUCAGAGCUGCGGACUUUUAAUCCGUAGGUCCCGGGUUCGAGUCCCGGUCGGCCCACCA
rnacentral:tRNA from 1 species